CUGAGGUGCCAACCCCACCCUGGGUGGGGCUACCAAACUGUGCAGGCUGGGCUUGCCGGACUAGUUGAAGGAGGUUAAUUCUAGGUAUUGGCCAGAAAACGGCUGGUUUGGAGGUUUUCUUUGCAUUCCUUUGGCUUGGAAACUGGAGAUGUUGGCUGGAAGAGCCAGCCAGGGUGGGAAAGCAUCCCGGGGGAAGGCAGGACCGGCCCGGAGUGAAGCUCUCUGUAAUUGAGGGAACGGCCGCUUGAUGGCAACAUCCUACCGCACAUGGGGACCGGUGCCAGGGGGACCGCGGAGCCGGGGACACGCACGGUCACAGGACACGGCAUGGCUUCUCCAGAACGGCUGCACGUGCUGCCAAGUGCAUACCUGGAGCAGGGAAUGCCUCUUCCUCACUUCUGCAACAGUCAUUUAUGUGUUGGGGCUGGGACUGAAAAUACAUGUCACAGAUGGUGCUAGGUCAAAGAAGCAGCCUGUCUUUGCAGGACAAGCAGUUCUGAAGUUCCGAGCAUCUCUACAUUUUCAUCUAUGCAGAAGUUUUCUCCUUAGCCUUUUUUGCUUACCUAAGCCAUUGGUGAUUUGCUUACGGUUUCCUCUCCUCUUUUACUUCGUAUAA
rnacentral:lncRNA from 13 species